AUGUUGGUUGAACUUAAAAGGCAUGUCAUGUUUCCUACUGUUUAUUGCCUCGUUGAGUUGGCAUUGCUACUACCGGUAGCGACGACAACAGUUGAAAGGGCCUUCUUAUCAAUGAAAAGCAUCAAGACUGAGUUGCGCAGCAAGAUGACCGAUGGUUGGCUUAAUGACUUGAUUGUUUGA
rnacentral:rRNA from 1 species